GACCUUUCCGAUGGCCUAUUGGUUAUAGCGUCCACCUCAAAUGCGGGAGGUCGAUGGUUCGAAUCCGGCCGAGUCA